GAUGAACGCUAGCGGCAGGCCUAAUACAUGCAAGUCGAACGAGAUUGAGGAGCUUGCUCUUCAUGAAAGUGGCGCACGGGUGCGUAACGCGUAUGCAACCUACCUUAAUCAGGGGGAUAGCCUCUCGAAAGAGAGAUUAACACCGCAUAACAUUAUUAUAUGGCAUCAUAUGAUAAUCAAAUAUUUAUAGGAUUAAGAUGGGCAUGCGUGACAUUAGUUAGUUGGCGGGGUAACGGCCCACCAAGACGAUGAUGUCUAGGGGAUCUGAGAGGAUGACCCCCACAACGGGUACUGAGAACCGGACCAGACUCCUACGGGAGGCAGGAGUAAGGAAUAUUGGUCAAUGGGCGCAAGCCUGAACCAGCCAUGCCGCGUGCAGGAAGACGGCCCUACGGGUUGUAAACUGCUUUUAUACUGGAAUAAACCUACUUACGUGUAAGUAGCUGAAUGUACAGUAAGAAUAAGGAUCGGCUAACUCCGUGCCAGCCGCCGCGGUAA
rnacentral:rRNA from 1 species